rnacentral:tRNA from 1 species
CUGUGAAAACCAGGUUAUUUCGA